rnacentral:rRNA from 1 species
CCUACGGGAGGCUGCAGUGGGGAAUAUUGGACAAUGGGCGAAAGCCUGAUCCAGCAAUGCCGCGUGAGUGAUGAAGGCCUUAGGGUUGUAAAGCUCUUUUACCAGGGAUGAUAAUGACAGUACCUGGAGAAUAAGCUCCGGCUAACUCCGUGCCAGCAGCCGCGGUAAUACGGAGGGAGCUAGCGUUGUUCGGAAUUACUGGGCGUAAAGCGCACGUAGGCGGCCAUUCAAGUCAGAGGUGAAAGCCCGGGGCUCAACCCCGGAACUGCCUUUGAAACUAGAUGGCUUGAAUCUUGGAGAGGCGAGUGGAAUUCCGAGUGUAGAGGUGAAAUUCGUAGAUAUUCGGAAGAACACCAGUGGCGAAGGCGACUCGCUGGACAAGUAUUGACGCUGAGGUGCGAAAGCGUGGGGAGCAAACAGGAUUAGAUACCCCGGUAGUC